CGACCGCUUUUCUUUCAAUAUGAUCGAAAAGCCAAGCCCGGACGGACAGGCGGGUCGAAAGCCGA
rnacentral:sRNA from 1 species